CACACAUCUCAUCCAGCCUCAUCUCAUUUAUCGUAUAAUCUCAUCUCAUACCACAUAUAUUGUAUAAUCUUAUUUUAUAAACAUUAAUCUCUCAUCUCAUAAAGCAUGUAAUCUUAUCUCAUAAUAUAUAUGAUCUCAUCUUAUACCAUAUACAUCAUAUCAAAUGAUGACUAAUCAGCAUGUUAUCAUAUUAUGUCAUUUCAUGUCAUCUCAUCUUAUAUCCUAUCAUUUCACUAUCAUAUCAUUUCACUAUCAUAUAAUAUCAUCUCAUCUCAUAUUGACAACAUGACCUUGGCUCUUAAUUCGCUGAAAUAAUGAAACAUCUGAAACUCAGGAUUACUCACUAAUGCAACAGCCUGCAAACAAACGUCAUUGAGAAUCGCUGCUGAACCUCUGCCUGUUAAAAACGAUCAAAUUCUGGAGGGGUUCACGGUUAGCAAGGUGUGACCUUAAAGGUGACCUUCACUGCACAGAGGUUCAGAGUGUUUUCUAAGGACUCCUCACGACAGAGUCAGAAACAGAUGAACACAGAUUAUAUUGUCUUUUUGUGACAAAUUUAUUUACACUUAAAAAACAAGGAGGUUGGAAAAUGCCUGGAGGGUCGGGUCAGCUGACUUUCACGCUCUGUCACAGGGAUUUCAAGUCGCUCCUCCUUUGUUUAAGUCAUGUGUUGUUUUGUGACCGGACUUGAUCCAAUCAGCCAAAUUACUCGUAAUGAACUACUGUGUGUGUGUGAGUGUGUGUGUGUGUGUGUGUAAAACUGUGAUGCCUGGUCAAGCAGUAAUGUCAGGACUCUGCAGGGACUCUGUGCUGUGUUCACUGUCUUGCAUCAGAUUAAUCCUUCUAAGUAUUUUUGCUCAGGAAAACAAACAGGUUCCAGCUGAGACGAAUCAUAUGCAACACAGUCAGUACGUUUACACGUCACUCGAGAAAACCGAAUUAUCGCCUUAUUCCGAUUAAGACCGGACAACUGAAGUGCGUGUAAACAACUUAGUCCGACUAUGAUCUAUAAUUGACUCAGAAGAAACUGCAACGUGGCUAAGGCGCAAAAGAAUGUCCACUUUUGGAACGACAAGGAGAGCGCCGUUAUGCUUUCCGUCGCAAAACGAGAAACAGAGACAUCUUUACAAAAGUCCCAGAAACAGCGCCGCUGAAAAGAGCCACAUCGCCCCCUAGUUUUGUGAAGGAGGACACGUUCACGUCAAUAAUUCAAUUUUCUCAGCUGCAUGUAUACGAGGACAAGGAGAGAAGUCAGAUUUGGCGAAAACAAAGAAUUAUGAGCUUAGUUCGAUUAAGCUGUUCAUGUAAACAGUGAGUGACAGACGACUAACAACUUCAACUGUCUGGAGCCGCGAAGUUUCUACACUAACUUGGGGAAAGUCUAGGUUCCUGUCAUAACCAUGCAUUGGGCUUUGUUUUAGCAACUACCUUAAAGUCUAAUGUGAGGAAGUUUGUUUGUUUUGACCUUGGCGCCCCCUGUGGACAUACAGUAUAUAUCCUUGGGUAAAGCAAUUAAAGCUGCUUUGUUUGUGUUCCUAACCAGGGCUCGACAGUGCGACCGCUUCACUCGCAUUUGAGACUAAAAGUAGAUGUGUGCGAAUCGUAAAAUGUAUUUAGGGUCACAUGUGGGCAUAAAAAAAAUUAGCUGAGGCAACAAAUGUUUUUUCCUGUAAAUACGGCGGUGAAGUUAGUUUUAGGUUGGAUAUAUUUUCCUGUAAAUACGGCGGUGAAGUUAGUUUCAGGUUGUAUAUAUUUUCCUGUAAAUACGGCGGUGAAGUUAGUUUUAGGUUGGAUAUAUUUCCCUGUAAAUACGGCGGUGAAGUUAGUUUUAGGUUGGAUGUAUUUUCCUGUAAAUACUGCGGUGAAGUUAGUUUCAGGUUGGAUAUAUUUUCCUGUAAAUACUGCGGUGAAGUUAGUUUUAGGUUGGAUAUAUUUUCCUGUAAAUACUGCGGUGAAGUUAGUUUUAGGUUGGAUAUAUUUCCCUGUAAAUACGGCGGUGAAGUUAGUUUCAGGUUGGAUAUAUUUUCCUGUAAAUACGGCGGUGAAGUUAGUUUUAGGUUGGAUAUAUUUUCCUGUAAAUACUGCGGUGAAGUUAGUUUUAGGUUGGAUAUAUUUUCCUGUAAAUACGGCGGUGAAGUUAGUUUCAGGUUGGAUAUAUUUUCCUGUAAAUACGGCGGUGAAGUUAGUUUCAGGUUGGAUAUAUUCUCCUGUAAAUAUGGCGGUGAAGUUAGUUUCAGGUUGGAUAUCUGACGGACAUUCUCUGAGGAUCUGCCGGUGUCUUCUCACUCUCCAUAACCGGGAAUAACAACAGCAGCGCGGUUAAAUCUACUCGACACCCUCACUGUCAACGUCGGUGUUGAAUAAGGGACCGUCAAUAAAUUACCGGUUGAUGUUCUCAGAAAAGGCUGUUUUCCUUCAAUAGCUUCACUGUCAUGUGACCAAAAGACCUAAAAUUCAUUUCAAAUAAUAGUACUUAUAUCGACCAAUAAGACAAAAAUUAUUUGAUCGAUUUUCAUUGUUCCCCUAAAGUUCUUUGUGUGCUCCUUGUGAAAAAAGUUCGUGUCAAGCCCUGCUAACCCUAAAAUCCAUAACAUAGACACAGUCAGUCGUGUUACUAUGGUCUCAUGAGCGCAUAGAGACACAUCCUUAUUUAUUUCAGUGCGUUACAUAACCCGUCAAAAACUCCUCACAGGAGCUUUAAUCAAUUAUUACAUCUGCUUGUUAAGUGUUCGCCCGCUGACAGGAAAAGUGGCGUUCUUAUGGAUUUGCCAGCCGACCUAUUUAUGCAUUUGCACAAUCCAUCUGUGGGUAAUUGGUUUUCCUCAUAACCAUGAAAAGGUUACUUUGUUGCCAUGGGAACACUUAAGUACAGCGCUGGGUGAUUAGGGCGAGGGUUUUCCUGAGACAUGGGGAAGUGAAAAUAAGAUAAAUAGGGAAGCCUUUUCAAGGAAGUGGAUUUUAAUGACCUUAUAGAGGAUAUUCAAUAAAUUAAUUUAAGGGCUUUUCUACUUUAAAAGCUCCUGUCAGGAACUUUAGACGCCCCCUGAAAUCAGAAGUUCUGACCCCUCUUGGUUCUGAUUGGUUCGUGACAUUAACGAGAAC